AAAUGCAGAUGCAUGGGCAGCCUGCUUGGCCUGGUCCACCGAAUAUGCAAAUGCCACCCCCCAUGCAACAGCAACUUCAGUACAGGCUUCCAGGGAUGCCACCGCCACAAAACGUGAUGCCUCCUCCUCAUCACAUGGCUAGGCCACCGCCGCCGCCUCCCAAUAUGCAAGCUCCACCUAUGUGGAGGCCACCCCCACCUCCACAACAUGCUGGCGGAAUGCCACCGCCCCCAAUGUCAAUGCCACCACCGCCACCACCACCUUCUGGUUAAAAGUAUGCAGGGGUUCUUCCAUUGGGUCAAUUUGGCACACUGUAACUGU
rnacentral:lncRNA from 1 species